rnacentral:rRNA from 1 species
AGCUCCAAUAGCGUAUAUUAAAGUUGCUGCAGUUAAAAAGCUCGUAGUUGGAUUUCUGGCUUGAAACAUUUUGCCGGCCACGGUUUCGUGUGUCAGUGCAAGAUGUUCUGGCCAUCCUUCCAAUCGCUAUGGCUUAUCUUCAUUGAUAGGUCAGUAGUAUUGGAUCUUUUACUUUGAAAAAAUUAGAGUGUUUCAAGCAGGCUUAUGCUAUGAAUACAUUAGCAUGGAAUAAUAAUUUAGGACUUCGGUUCUAUUUUGUUGGUUUCUAGGACUGAAGUAAUGAUUGAUAGGGAUAGUUGGGGGUGCUAGUAUUCAGCGGCCAGAGGUGAAAUUCUCGGAUUCGCUGAAGACUAACUUAUGCGAAAGCAUUCACCAAGGAUGUCUCCU